rnacentral:rRNA from 1 species
GAUGAACGCUAGCGGCAGGCCUAAUACAUGCAAGUCGGACGGGAUUCAGGAGCUUGCUUCUGAUGAGAGUGGCGCACGGGUGCGUAACACGUAUGUAACCUACCUUUAUCAGGGGGAUAGCCUCUCGAAAGAGAGAUUAAGCCCGCAUAAAAUCACAGCACAGCAUUGUGUAAUGAUCAAAUAUUUAUAGGAUAAAGAUGGGCAUGCGGAACAUUAGCUAGAUGGCGGGGUAACGGCCCACCAUGGCGACGAUGUUUAGGGGAUCUGAGAGGAUGGCCCCCCACACUGGUACUGGGACACGGACCAGACUCCUACGGGAGGCAGCAGUAAGGAAUAUUGGUCAAUGGGCGGAAGCCUGAACCAGCCAUGCCGCGUGCAGGAAGACGGCCCUACGGGUUGUAAACUGCUUUUAGACGGGAAUAAACCCAGAUACGUGUAUCUGGCUGAAUGUACUGUAAGAAUAAGGAUCGGCUAACUCCGUG